rfam:Ictidomys tridecemlineatus contig099973, whole genome shotgun sequence.
GGAGUUGUGGCUCAGUGGUAGAGUGCCCACCUAGCAUGUGGGAGGCACUGGAUUUGAUCCUCAGCACCA